rnacentral:rRNA from 1 species
CAAUAGCGUAUAUUUAAGUUGUUGCAGUUAAAAGCUCGUAGUUGGAUUUCGGAUGUGAACGACCGGUCCGCCGUUGCGGUGUGCACUGGACGUUUGUAUCUUGUUGUCGGGGACGCGCUCCUGACCUUAACUGGGAGGGACGCGGAGUCGGCGCUGUUACUUUGAAAAAUUAGAGUGUUCAAAGCAGGCAACCGCUCUGAAUACAUUAGCAUGGAAUAACGCUAUAGGACUCUGGUCCUAUUGUGUUGGUCUUCGGGACCGGAGUAAUGAUUAAGAGGGACAGACGGGGGCAUUCGUACUGGGCCGCCAGAGGUGAAAUUCUUUAACUGGCUCAUGACGAACCACUGCGAAAGCAUUUGCCAAGAAUGUUUUCAUUAAUCAAGAACGAAAGUCAGAGGGUCGAAGAUGAUUAGAUACCA